UGGACAGAUUAUUGUAUUCGGAUGUAUUCGACUGUAUUCACGGUGUGAAACAGGGGAUUACACUAUUUUUAAAUAGAAAGUGAAUCAAUUAACAUAAUAAACUCCU
rfam:Nicotiana sylvestris Nsyl_contig106140, whole genome shotgun sequence.